CCAGUUCUCACUACAUAGUGUCCCAAAAGAUUGGGCCUGCUCUUUCUUUCAGAGACAAUUAGGAAAAAAGUAAACAAACGGAGCAGGAUUUGGGCAUAACAGCAUGCUCCUCCCAUCCCCCAAAUCCCAGGAGUGUCACUGAGUAAUGUCUUACAAUAACAGAAUGCAGGAGAGCACAUAUCAAUGAAGAAAAGACAAAAUGUACUUAUCCAUGAAGCUGAGGUUAAGAAACCAGUGUCUUCAAGAGCCAGGGACAGCACUGGGUCUGUGCAGAGUUGAGAGAUGGUGAUGACAUGGUGAGACACAAAUUCAGUCUAUUUCAUAGUUUGUGGUCAUUCCUAUUAAUAAACUUCCUUUCACAACUGUUUCAAUAUUCACACAAAAAUGUUAACCCAAUCUGCAGUUGUACCCCUUGAAUGUAAAAUAAAAAACAAAAGCCCACAAAAAUAGGAAUCCACACUUAAAAGGUGGAUUUAUUUAGCACAGUAUGGAGUUUCUUAGACUUCUCUAUCACUGUCUCUAACAAUGACAUACUCACCUAACCCCACUAAGAGCAACUUUAUUUCAUCUCUAGUUUUCGUCUAAAGAUUCAUGUGGAUUUUAGAUUCUACUCUUUUGUAGGUUCGUAUUUGUACUAUUAUAAAAUGUGACUCUCUCUCCAAACUUUGCCUAAAUUAUGGAAUGAUUUUUCAUGUUUAUCCAGUGGUUUCCAGCAUUCUUGGCCCAGUCUGGGAUUCUACUCUUUUGUAGGUUCGUAUUUGUACUAUUAUAAAAUGUGACUCUCUCUCCAAACUUUGCCUAAAUUACGGAAUGAUUUUUCAUGUUUAUGCAGUGGUUUCCAGCAUUCCUCACCCAGUCCAGGGACACUGUGGGUGUGCCCAGCUUAAGUCCAGUAACUGGAAAUACAAGCCCAAGUUCUGGAGAGUUUGAGCUGCAG
rnacentral:lncRNA from 10 species